rnacentral:rRNA from 1 species
AACGUAGGAGGCAAGCGUUAUCCGGAUUUACUGGGCGUAAAGCGCGUGCAGGCGGUUCGGUAAGUCGGACGUGAAAGCUCCUGGCUCAACUGGGAGAGGCCGUUCGAUACUACCGAACUAGAGGGCAGGAGAGGGAGGUGGAAUUCCGGGUGUAGCGGUGAAAUGCGUAGAUAUCCGGAGGAACACCAGUGGCGAAGGCGGCCUCCUAGUCUGCCCCUGACGCUCAGACGCGAAAGCUAGGGGAGCGAACGGG